rnacentral:pre_miRNA from 1 species
GUGCUCUGCAGGGUGAGGUAGUUGGUUGUAUGGUUUCGCAUCAUAAAGAGCCUGGAGAUAACUGUACAACCUUCUAGCUUUCCCUGCGGUGUCAC